GCGAAAACUUUACAAUGCUGGCAACAGCGAUAAGGGAACCUCGAGUGCCAGGUUACAAAUCUGGCUGUCGAGAUGCCUAAAAAGCAUUUCAUAGCAAGGGCCGGGCAAGACCGGUGCCAGCCGCCGCGGUAACACCGGCGGCUCGAGUGGUAACCGUUAUUAUUGGGUCUAAAGGGUCUGUAGCCGGCCGGAUAAGUCUCUUGAGAAAUCUGGCAGCUUAACUGUCAGGCUUUCAGGAGAUACUGUCUGGCUCGAGGCCGGGAGAGUUGAGAGGUACUUCAGGGGUAGGGGUGAAAUCUUGUAAUCCUUGAAGGACCACCAGUGGCGAAGGCGUCUCACCAGAACGGACCUGACGGCAAGUGACGAAAGCUAGGGGCGCGAACC
rnacentral:rRNA from 1 species